GCGAGGCCGAAAGGCGUAGUCGAUGGGAAACAGGUUAAUAUUCCUGUACUUGGUGUUACUGCGAAGGGGGGACGGAGAAGGCUAUGUUAGCCGGGCGACGGUUGUCCCGGUUUAAGCAUGUAGGCUGAUUGUCCAGGCAAAUCCGGAUAAUCAAGGCUGAGGUGUGAUGACGAGGCACUACGGUGCUGAAGUAACAAAUGCCCUGCUUCCAGGAAAAGCCUCUAAGCAUCAGGUAACAUCAAAUCGUACCCCAAACCGACACAGGUGGUCAGGUAGAGAAUACCAAGGCGCUUGAGAGAACUCGGGUGAAGGAACUAGGCAAAAUGGUGCCGUAACUUCGGGAGAAGGCACGCUGGUGUGUAGGUGAAGUCCCUGCGGAUGGAGCUGAGACCAGUCGAAGAUACCAGCUGGCUGCAACUGUUUAUUAAAAACACAGCACUGUGCAAACACGAAAGUGGACGUAUACGGUGUGACGCCUGCCCGGUGCCGGAAGGUUAAUUGAUGGG
rnacentral:rRNA from 1 species